ACGGAAGGCAGCAGUGGGGGAUAUUGCACAAUGGGGGAAACCCUGAUGCAGCGACGCCGCGUGAGCGAAGAAGUAUUUCGGUAUGUAAAGCUCUAUCAGCAGGGAAGAAAAUGACGGUACCUGACUAGGAAGCUCCGGCUAAAUACGUGCCAGCAGCCGCGGUAAUACGUAUGGAGCAAGCGUUAUCCGGAUUUACUGGGUGUAAAGGGAGCGUAGACGGUUUGCCAAGUCUGAUGUGAAAGGUGGGGGCUCAACCCCCAAACUGCAUUGGAAACUGGUAGACUAGAGUGUCGGAGAGGUAAGUGGAAUUCCUAGUGUAGCGGUGAAAUGCGUAGAUAUUAGGAGGAACACCAGUGGCGAAGGCGGCUUACUGGACGAUAACUGACGUUGAGGCUCGAAAGCGUGGGGAGCAAACAGGAUUAGAUACCCUGGUA
rnacentral:rRNA from 1 species